AUUCAUUCGAAUAUACAUUUCUAACCCCUUGUCUAAACCACCUGUUGCUUCCGGCUGUUUGGGCUGUAUAGUUAGCUGUAUAGCCUGGCCGGAAGGUUAACAUAAAAUAUUGUAUUUAGAGUCUUCUGAAUUUUAAAAUAAAAGUUAAAACUUUCAACAACGGAUCUCUUGGUUCUCGCAUCAAUGAAGAACGCAGCGAAAUGCGAUAAGUAGUGUGAAUUGCACAAUUCAGUGAAUCAUCGAAUCUUUGAACGCACAUUGCGCCUUCCGGUAUUCCGGAAGGCAUGCCUGUCCGAGCGUCAUCAAAAACCACUCAAGUAGUUUUGCUUGGUUAUGAAAGAAGAGUUUGCUUGCGAAUUCCCUUUCGAAAUUCAAUGGCGGAGGGUCUCAUGAUUCCGGCGUAGUAAUAACUUAUUCGCUUGGUCAUUGUGACAAUCCUGCCUCAAACCCCCAAUUCUAGUGUUUGACCUCGGAUCAGGUAAGGAUACCCGCUGAACUUAAGCAUAUCAAUAAGCGGAGGA
rnacentral:misc_RNA from 1 species